rnacentral:rRNA from 1 species
AUUGAACGCUGGCGGCAGGCCUAACACAUGCAAGUCGAGCGGAUGACGGGAGCUUGCUCCUUGAUUCAGCGGCGGACGGGUGAGUAAUGCCUAGGAAUCUGCCUGGUAGUGGGGGACAACGUUUCGAAAGGAACGCUAAUACCGCAUACGUCCUACGGGAGAAAGCAGGGGACCUUCGGGCCUUGCGCUAUCAGAUGAGCCUAGGUCGGAUUAGCUAGUUGGUGGGGUAAUGGCUCACCAAGGCGACGAUCCGUAACUGGUCUGAGAGGAUGAUCAGUCACACUGGAACUGAGACACGGUCCAGACUCCUACGGGAGGCAGCAGUGGGGAAUAUUGGACAAUGGGCGAAAGCCUGAUCCAGCCAUGCCGCGUGUGUGAAGAAGGUCUUCGGAUUGUAAAGCACUUUAAGUUGGGAGGAAGGGCAGUAAGCUAAUACCUUGCUGUUUUGACGUUACCGACAGAAUAAGCACCGGCUAACUCUGUGCCAGCAGCCGCGGUAAUACAGAGGGUGCAAGCGUUAAUCGGAAUUACUGGGCGUAAAGCGCGCGUAGGUGGUUUGUUAAGUUGGAUGUGAAAGCCCCGGGCUCAACCUGGGAACUGCAUCCAACACUGGCAAGCUAGAGUACGGUAGAGGGUGGUGGAAUUUCCUGUGUAGCGGUGAAAUGCGUAGAUAUAGGAAGGAACACCAGUGGCGAAGGCGACCACCUGGACUGAUACUGACACUGAGGUGCGAAAGCGUGGGGAGCAAA